rnacentral:misc_RNA from 1 species
AGAAGCUUUUGGACAAACUUGUUGUCCUGAAGCUCAAUGGAGGCUUGGGAACAACAAUGGGAUGCACGGGUCCCAAAUCAGUUAUUGAAGUUCGUAAUGGUUUGACAUUCCUUGACUUGAUUGUCAAGCAAAUUGAGGCACUCAAUGCCAAGUUCGGAUGCAGUGUUCCCCUGCUUUUGAUGAAUUCGUUCAACACCCACGAUGAUACACUGAAGAUUGUUGAAAAAUAUGCAAACUCAAACAUUGAUAUUCAUACAUUCAAUCAGAGCCAGUACCCUCGCCUGGUUACUGAAGACUUUGCCCCACUUCCAUGCAAAGGCAAUUCCGGAAAAGAUGGAUGGUACCCUCCAGGUCAUGGUGAUGUUUUCCCUUCUUUGAUGAAUAGUGGAAAGCUUGAUGCACUACUAGCAAAGGGCAAGGAAUAUGUCUUUGUUGCAAACUCUGAUAAUUUGGGCGCCAUUGUUGAUUUGAAAAUCUUA